AUUAAAGACAGCACUGAAAACAGACUGCCAUGAAUUAUUUUUUCUGGAACAGAGUUAAUUUUAUGGACUGUGCUUGCUUCCUCUCUCAGUGGGAUAUGGCCCUUGGCUAACAUUUAAUAUAAACUGUGUGUAUGUGGACCUAAGUGUUUGCCUGUGUUCAAAAUAAGAUGCCAAAAUUAUUUGCUGUCAUUUCCUUCCCCCAAGCUUUUUAAGAAGAUUUCUUUCUAACAGUGAUCAAACACUUCCUCUUUCAUCCUGGCUUGCCAAUUACUGCCAAAUUCCCAGUCCCUCUGAAGCACCUCCAUUAGCAUCUGUGGAAGAAGAGAUUUCUACUGCUGCCUAAAGAAAAUAUCCAGUUAAAAGAUAAUGGACUGAGAAGAUAAGGAGUAUGCAAAAGAAGGCAAAAUGAGAAGACUUCUCAAAAGAAGGCAGAGAUUCCAGUACCAUGAGAUGACCACCAGGAACAGCAGCA